rnacentral:rRNA from 1 species
GAUGAACGCUGGCGGCGUGCCUAAUACAUGCAGGUCGAGCGAACGGACGAGAAGCUUGCUUUUCUGAUGUUAGCGGCGGACGGGUGAGUAACACGUGGAUAACCUACCUAUAAGACUGGGAUAACUUCGGGAAACCGGAGCUAAUACCGGAUAAUAUUUUGAACCGCAUGGUUCAAAAGUGAAAGACGGUCUUGCUGUCACUUAUAGAUGGAUCCGCGCUGCAUUAGCUAGUUGGUAAGGUAACGGCUUACCAAGGCAACGAUGCAUAGCCGACCUGAGAGGGUGAUCGGCCACACUGGAACUGAGACACGGUCCAGACUCCUACGGGAGGCAGCAGUAGGGAAUCUUCCGCAAUGGGCGAAAGCCUGACGGAGCAACGCCGCGUGAGUGAUGAAGGUCUUCGGAUCGUAAAACUCUGUUAUUAGGGAAGAACAUAUGUGUAAGUAACUGUGCACAUCUUGGCGGUACCUAAUCAGAAAGCCACGGCUAACUACGUG